rnacentral:rRNA from 1 species
CCCUUAGAUGUCCUGGACCGCACGCGUGCUACACUGACGCAUACAGCGAGUACUCCCGGCUCCGCAAUGGCAGCUGGUAAUCAUCAAUAUGCGUCGUGAUGGGGAUAGAUCUCUGGAAUUUUUGAUCUUGAACGAGGAAUGCCUAGUAAGCGCAGGUCAUCAGCCUGCGUUGAUUAAGUCCCUGCCCUUUGUACACACCGCCCGUCGCUCCUACCGAUUUCGAGUGGUCCGGUGAACCUUUCGGACCGGGAGCAGCCUCGUGCUGCGCCUGGAAAGUCAAGUAAACCACAUCACUUAGAGGAAGGAGAAGUCGUAACA